rnacentral:rRNA from 1 species
AUUGAACGCUGGCGGCAUGCCUUACACAUGCAAGUCGAACGGUAACAGGUCUUCGUUGCCUGACGAGUGGCGAACGGGUGAGUAAUACAUCGGAACGUGCCCGAUCGUGGGGGAUAACGAGUCGAAAGCUUUGCUAAUACCGCAUACGAUCUACGGAAGAAAGCGGGGGAGUUUCGGACCUCGCGCGGGCGGUGCGGCCGAUGGCAGAUUAGGUAGUUGGUGGGAUAAUAGCUUACCAAGCCGACGAUCCGUAGCGGGACUGAGAGGAUGAUCAGCCACACUGGAACUGAGACACGGUCCAGACUCCUACGGGAGGCAGCAGUGGGGAAUUUUGGACAAUGGGCGAAAGCCUGAUCCAGCCAUGCCGCGUGAGGGAUGAAGGCCUUCGGGUUGUAAACUGCUUUUGUAAGGAACGAAAAGCCUUUUACUAAUAAAGAGGGGUCAUGACGGUACCGUAAGAAUAAGCACCGGCUAACUACGUG